AUGUGAGGGUGAUCUGGCUGCAACAUUUGUCACCCUGCUGAUCACCAGGGUUUAUUCAGCUGAUCUGGCUGGCUAGGCAGAUGUCCCCUUUCUCCUUCACCACUGGAUGUGUACCACUCCCAGAGCUGUGCACUCAGUCAUAGAGAAGGACCUUCCCCAGUAGAGGAGGACCAUUUUCAGUCAAGGGUAUACAAGUAGCUGUGCUCCCCAAUCAGGCAGUAAUUUGCUGUCAGCAUGCAAUAAAAAGGUCUCCAGCUGUUAGCAAAAAAAGGAUGUGAGACAGAAUCUCCACACUUAGAAAGUCCCAAGGAAGAUUGGAGACUGGACCUC
ensembl:misc_RNA 7SK 7SK RNA